UACGGAGGGUGCAAGCGUUAUCCAGAUUCACUGGGUUUAAAGGGUGCGUAGGUGGGCAGAUAAGUCAGUGGUGAAAUCUCUGGGCUUAACCCGGAAACUGCCAUUGAUACUAUUUGUCUUGAAUUCUCUGGAGGUAAGCGGAAUAUGUCAUGUAGCGGUGAAAUGCUUAGAUAUGACAUAGGACACCCAUUGCGAAGGCAGCUUACUACGGAGACAUUGACACUGAGGCACGAAAGCGUGGGGAGCAAACAGG
rnacentral:rRNA from 1 species